UCCCUACCUCUCCCCAGGCGGGGAGGGAAACCCGCCAACGAUGGGUGCCGAUGCACCCUCGACUCCCUUAAGUCCGUCCUCACUGGCUGGCACCUCCUAGCCGAAUUGCAGAUAUCACACGCGGCCGCGAGCAUGCCUAGAGGGCAAUUCGCUAGUGACGUAUUACUUCACUGGGUCGUUUUAACGUCGUGGGAAACCU
rnacentral:rRNA from 1 species